AUUGAACGCUGGCGGCAGGCCUAACACAUGCAAGUCGAACGAGAGGCGGACGGGUGAGUAAUAUCUGGGAAACUGCCUGAUGGGGGGGGAUAACUCCUGGGAACGGUAGCUAAUACCGCAUACCAUCAGAGGUGCCCAGAUGGGAGUAGCGAGUAGGUGGGGUAACGGCUCACCUAGGCGACGAUCCCUCGCUGGUCUGUGAGGAUGACCAGCCACACUGGAACUGAGACACGGUCCAGACUCCUACGGGAGGCAGCAGUGGGGAAUAUUGCACAAUGGGCGCAAGCCUGAUGCAGCCAUGCCGCGUGUGUGAAGAAGGCCUUCGGGUUGUAAAGUACUUUCAGCGGGGAGGCGUUACCCGCAGAAGAAGCACCGGCUAACUCCGUGCCAGCAGCCGCGGUAAUAC
rnacentral:rRNA from 1 species